UACGUAGGGACCGAGCGUUGUCCGGAAUCAUUGGGCGUAAAGAGCGUGUAGGCGGCUAUUUAAGUCCUGCGUGAAAUCCUGCGGCUCAACCGCAGACGGUCGUGGGAAACUGGAUGGCUAGAGUGCGGGAGAGGAGAGUGGAAUUCCCGGUGUAGCGGUGAAAUGCGCAGAUAUUGGGAAGAACACCGGUGGCGAAGGCGGCGCUCUGGACCGAAACUGACGCUGAGGCGCGAAAGCGUGGGGAGCAAACAGG
rnacentral:rRNA from 1 species